UCAGGCAAAAGACUCCACUUCCACCCAUC
rnacentral:piRNA from 1 species